UCCAAGGCAGAGAGUUCCACUGCCAAACAGCUCACAGUGAGGAAUUAAUGCAUUUUGAAACCACUUUAACUGCUGUGGCACAAUGCUAAGGAACCCUGAGAGAUGUAGUUGGAGAGACAUCAGCACUCUUUGGUGGAGAAGGCUAAAGAUCUUGCAAAACAACAACUCCCAUAUUUCUACAGCACUUGCCACAAGGAAGCUAAAGGUGUCUCAAACUGCAUUAAUUCUACAAUGUAGAUGCACCCCUAGAAAAAGGUGCAUGCCUCCAUCCUGCCAAUCACAGAUGACAGCAUUUCACAAGACGGCUCAGAGCCUUAACUGCAGAACAAUCAGCGCAUGGUCUGGCCCUUGUGAGCAGCAUGGGGCUUAUGCAAUGGCCGGAAGUCCUUUAUCUGGCCAAGGAGGAGGAAACCAGCACCAAGAAGAACAGAUGAGAAGAUUAUUGCACUUCGCUCGUGAAGCCGUGACGAAUGUAUGGACAUCUUUGCUCUCACUCGUAAAGAUCUGUGUCUGCGCAGAGAUUCAAAUGGAACAUUUUAUCACAGGGAUUUGAGGUGAAAGAGCUCCCCAUCCCUGCUUCCGUGCACAAGCCUAAAUGGCAAUGCUAAAUGGCCCGGGCUGUGGCGCAGGCGGGAGAGCAAGCCAGCUGCAAUUAACUGCAAUGAAUCACUCUGACCAGGAGGUCAUGAGUUCGAGGCCGCUCGGAGCCUAUGUUUGUUUGUCUUUGUUCUAUGUUAAAAGGCAUUAAAUGUUUGCCUAUAUGUGUAAUGUGAUCCGCCCUGAGUUCCCUUCGGGGUGAGGGCAGAAUAUAAAUGCUGUAAAUAAAUAAAUAAAUAAAUAAAUAAAUGCUGCUGUUCUUUCACCCAACAGCAAAAACCAG